AUGGAUCCCCUUCCCAUACACACAAUCAUCUGCCUUGUUUGUUGGUCAUUUUGGUUAUUCCCAUUGUGUGCAUCAUCCAGCAGCCGCCUUCUUCCCGACAAGCCGCUUUCUGCUGGAAGCACCAUCACCUCCGACGACGGCACUUUCGCCCUGGGAUUCUUCUCCCCGUCCAGCUCCGGCAAAAAACAUUACUACGUCGGAAUAUGGUACAAGAACAUACCCAAAGACAAUGUUGUGUGGGUUGCCAACCGUGCUAUGCCAAUCGCUAAUCCUUCUUCUGCAACACUGGCCUUCACAAACGGAUCCAAUCUGGCCCUGUCAGACACCAACGGCCAGCUUCUCUGGAUGUCAGAUAUCAGCGCCGCAGGAAAUUCAUCGUCAGAGGCAACUGGUGGAGAAGCCACGCUUGAUAACAAUGGGAAUUUUAUCCUUCGGUCAUCACAGGGCAUCAUCUUAUGGCAAAGCUUCGAUUACCCGACCGACACUCUCCUUCCAGGUAUGAACCUCAGGAUCACCCACAAGACGCAUGCACUACAACAGCUCGUCUCUUGGAGAAACACCCAAGACCCAUCCACGCGCAACUUCUCAUAUGGUGCACACCCUGAUGAGUUUCUGCGGCGUUUUUCAUGGAAUGGUUCGACACCAUACUGGCAAAGUCCAGAGUGGAAUAACUAUUUGUUAGUAGGGCGGUACGUCGAGAGUGUCAGAUCCACAAUUCACUUCACACUGAAUACUAUUGAUGAUGAGGCGUACAUUUCCUUUGGACUACCAGAACCAAGUGUCUCCUUAGUGCUACUGAAGAUGGACUACUCAGGCAAGAUGAAGUUACGAACCUGGAAUAGCAACAUGUCCAAAUGGACUGACCUGCGUGUUGGAAAUAUGCCCUAG
rnacentral:rRNA from 1 species